UACGAAGGGGGCUAGCGUUGCUCGGAAUCACUGGGCGUAAAGCGCACGUAGGCGGAUUCCUAAGUCGGGGGUGAAAUCCUGGAGCUCAACUCCAGAACUGCCUUCGAUACUGGGAAUCUUGAGUCCGGGAGAGGUGAGUGGAACUGCGAGUGUAGAGGUGAAAUUCGUAGAUAUUCGCAAGAACACCAGUGGCGAAGGCGGCUCACUGGCCCGAUAUUGACGCUGAGGUGCGAAAGCGUGGGGAGCAAACAGG
rnacentral:rRNA from 1 species